rnacentral:rRNA from 1 species
GAUGAACGCUGGCGGCGUGCCUAAUACAUGCAAGUCGAGCGAACAGAUGAGGUACUUGUACCUCUUACGUUAGCGGCGGACGGGUGAGUAACACGUGGAGAACCUACCUAUGAGACGGGGAUAACUUCGGGAAACGGGAGCUAAUACCGGAUAAUAUAUUUAAACGCAUGGUUCAAGAGUGAAAGACGGUUUUGCUGUCACUUAUAGUGAUAUCCCGGUGGAUUUAGUAAGUUGGUAAGGUAAGGGCUUACAAAGGGAAGGACGCGUAGCCGCCCGGAGAGGGUGAUCGGCCCAACUGGAACUGAGAAACGGCCAAGCUCCCUACGGGAGGAAGAAGUAGGGAAUCUUCCGAAAUGGGCGAAGUCUUGCCGGAGAAACGCCGCGUGAGUGAUGAAGGUCUUCGGACCGUAAAACUCUGUUAUUAGGGAAGACCAAAUGUGUAAGUAACUACGCACGUAUUGACGGUAACUACCCAGAAAGCCACGGCUAACUACGUG